UUAAGUUCAGCGGGUAGUCCUACCUGAUUUGAGAUCAAACAUUCAAAGGGCUGUCCUCACUGAGGAGAGACAUCUAUGAGCUCCAGUGAACCUCCACUGCUGUGAAGGUUAUCUGAUGGAAAACCACGAGCGUAGAUAGUUAUCACACCCAGGAUACCCAGCAAACACUGGUAAGCUGAUUUAUUUUAGAGGAGCUGAUC
rnacentral:misc_RNA from 1 species